UACGAAGGGGGCGAGCGUUGUUCGGAUUUACUGGGCGUAAAGGGCGCGUAGGCGGCCCUCCUAGUCGCGUGUGAAAGCCCCGGGCUCAACCUGGGAAUUGCGCGCGAAACGGGGGGGCUUGAGUUCGGGAGAGGGAUGCGGAAUUCCAGGUGUAGCGGUGAAAUGCGUAGAUAUCUGGAGGAACACCGGUGGCGAAGGCGGCAUCCUGGACCGGUAUUGACACUGAGGCGCGAAAGCCAGGGGAGCAAACGGG
rnacentral:rRNA from 1 species